CCAAUAGCGUAUAUUAAAGUUGUUGCAGUUAAAAAGCUCGUAGUUGAAUUUCGGGAUCAAUAUGUUGGUCGUGCCUCGGUACGUACUAGCUUAUUGGUUUCUCCUUUCUGAAGAACCAUGAUGUCAUUUAUUUGGUGUCGUGGGGAAUCAGGACUGUUACUUUGAAAAAAUUAGAGUGUUUAAAGCAGGCUCACGCUUGAAUACAUUAGCAUGGAAUAAUGAAAUAGGACGUUUGAUUCUAUUUUGUUGGUUUUUAGGAUCGACGUAAUGAUUAAUAGGGAUAGUUGGGGGCAUUAGUAUUCAAUUGUCAGAGGUGAAAUUCUUGGAUUUAUUGAAGACUAACUACUGCGAAAGCAUUUGCCAAGGAUGUUUUCAUUAAUCAAGAACGAAAGUUAGGGGACCGAAGACGAUCAGAUACCGUCGUAGUCUUAACCAUAAACUAUGCCGACUAGGGAUCGGAUGAUGUUAAUUUUUUAAUGACUCAUUCGGCGCCUUAC
rnacentral:rRNA from 1 species